rnacentral:rRNA from 1 species
GGUGACACCAAUUGCACUUAUCGGUGGAUGUCUUGGCUCUGGGAUCGAUGAAGACCGCAGCAAGAUGCGAUAUUCAAUGGGAAUUGCAGAAGCAUGAGACUCAUCAGGUCGUCGAACGCAUUUGCGGGCUGGGUUUUGCCCACGCCCAUCAGCAGUUGAGUGUCGCUUGAAAAUCUAAUCCCCCUCGCUUAAUUUUUAGGGCCUCUCGCUUAAUUUAAGCGAGAGCUCCGAAAUUUAAGCGAGGAGGGGAUACGGCGAUGUAGCGAGACAUCCCGUCUCGCCGCUUCGCUGAGAUGCAGGGUCGAAAGGGAGCAAUCCAUUUUCGACCUUCAAGAGCGACCACCCUUUUUCAAAGGUUGGUCUCGUGGGAUUUCAAAUUUCAUAAGGCAAGCCGAGAAAAAAAUGGGAGCUCGUCAAAACUUCUCAUUGACCUCAGCUGUUGAAGAUCUACGCGCUGAACUUAAGCAUAUCACUCAGCGCUGGAAAAGAAAGCAACAGCGAUGCUCCUAGUAACGGCGAGUGAACAGGGCAGAGCCCAAGCCGAAUCGGCGUCCCACGGAUGUCCGAGAUGUAGCGCAAGCCCCAAGGGUUCUGGUGGCAUCGAGGUAAGUCUCCUGGAAUGGCGUAUCCAAAGAGGGUGAGAGUCCCGUACGUCCUCGAUGAGCCAACUGGUCCACACCCCAAAAGGCAAGAGUCGUUCAGUUUGGGAAUGCUGAACAAAUCGGCAGGUAUCCCUCUGCUAAGGCUAAAUAUCUCCCGGAGGCCGAUAGCGAACAAGUACAGUGAUGGAAAGAUGCAAAGAACUUUGAAAAGAGAGUUAAAAGUCCCUGAAACCGAUGAGUGGUAAGAGUUCGAGACGCGUCAAAAUCCUGAUCAUUCUUCGUUCACUCGGGGUUAUGGUUAGGACGUCUGGUCUCAUUCGGGUCGUCUAUCCUGGGAACGCGAGAGGCUCCGGCGUCUGCGUCCUUGAGGGCAGAUCGGCCAGGAUGUGAAUGGGCUGAGGAUGUAAACUGUUGCGGUCGUUUGGGUGGUAAGUGUCGGAGUCUCCGGACGAUGUCCUUGCCCCUAUUCGGACGUUGCAGGUAAAGUCUCGUAGGCCUAUGUCAGACAUAGCGGUCUUGAACUACCCGUCUUGAAACACGGACCAAGGAGUCUAACACGUGUGCGAGGCUUAGGGUGUCAAACCCACAAGCCACACUGAAAGGGAGAUGUGCCAACCCCUGAGGGUGCAGCACAGCCCGAUCCCGAUUUACUGGAAAAGGAUUUGAGGUAAAGUACACUUGUUGGGACCCGAAAGAUGGUGAACUAUGCCUGGAUAGGACGAAGCCGGGGGAAACUCUGGUGGAGGUCCGUUGCGGUGUUGACGUGCAAAUCGCUCGUCAAAGCUGGGUAUAGGGGCGAAAGACCCAUCGAACCAUCUAGUAGCUGGUUCACUCCGAAGUUUCCCUCAGGAUAGCUAGCACCAUGAAAGGAGUCACGUCUGGUAAAGCGAAUGAUUGGAGGCAUUGGGGAUAUCGCUUCCUCGACCUAUUCUCAAACUUUAAAUGGGCGUGAGCUCGGGGUUACUUCAUUGAACCCUGACGUAGGAUCCUGGUGCUAAGUGGGCCACUUCUGGUAAGCAGGACUGGCGACGCGGGAUGAACCGAGAGCUGACUUAAGGUAUCCGAGUGAUCGCUCAUCAGAUCCCACAAAGGGUGUAGGUUCAUCUAGACAGCAGGACGGUGGCCAUGGAAGUCGGCAUCCGAUAAUGAGUGUGUAACAACUCACCUGCCGAAUGAACCUGUCCCGAAAAUGGAUGAUGCUCAAGCGAUCCACCCAUAGUCGGCCGAGCUCCAGUAUCAAAAAGCUGGGCUUGCGUAGGAGUGCGUGGUCCACGCUGCGAAGCAGCUGGCGUGAGCCUCUGUGAAGCGUGGAUGAGUGCAGAUCUUGGUUGUAGUAGCGAAUAUUCAAUGGAGAACAUUGAAGGCCGAAGUGGAGAAGGUUUCCGUGUCAACAGCAGUUGGACAUGGGUCAGUCGGUCCUAAGGCAAGGUGUAAUUGCUCGCCUCAAAGCUGCCACUUAUCAUUUCGGUGAUAGUGCAGGUUUGCCGAAAGGGAAUGCGUGAACAUUCCGCAACCCGGAUGCAGAGAUAUGAAGCGGCAACGCGUGACGAUCCUGUCGACCGUGCCCACGAGCCCCGGAUGACGCAGUCGUCUCUUUUUGAAGGAAGGAUUGACCGUUGAAUCGCUUCACGCGGGGACACGGUUAAUUAUCCUGGAAAGCUGCACUUUCUUCGUGCAGUAGGGUGUCCCGUGGGUGCGCAUGGAAAAGACAGGGGAGAUCUCGUUCUCUAGCAUCGGGCCGUACCGUUAACCGCAAUAGGUCUCCUAGGCUAAAAGCCUCUGGCCGACAGAAUAAUGUAGGUAAGGGAAGUCGGCAAACUGGAUCUGUAACCUCGGGAAAAGGAUUGGCUCCGAGGACACAUGUGGGAUGUCAGCGGGGACUUAUCUGGAGUUUGGUUGAUGGAGCUGUAGGUGACGGCCUCGGUUGUUGUCUGCGGCUCUUGAUUCCUUUCUAGUUAAUCCACGUGUUGUGCCUACAAGGAAGUGUCAGCUUGGAACUGUUACGAACAAGAGGAAUCCAACUGGUUAAUUAAACCACAGCAUGUCGCUUCAUCACAGCGGUGGCGAGUGGCAUGUGACUUCUGCCCAGUGCCCUGAAUGUCAACGCUGAGAGAUCAGGUCAAGCGCGGGUAAACGGCGGGAGUAACUAUGACUCUCUUAAGGUAGCCAAAUGCCUCGUCAUCUAAUUAGUGACGCGCAUGAAUGGAUUAACGAGAUUCCCACUGUCCCUAUCUACUAUCUAGCGAAACCACAGCCAAGGGAACGGGCUUGGCACAAUCAGCGGGGAAAGAAGACCCUGUUGAGCUUGACUCUAGUCCGACUCUGUGAAGAAACAUGAGAGGUGUAGCAUAAGUGGGAGGGCAAGCCGCAGUGAAAUACCACUACUUUCAUCGUUUCUUUACUUACUCGAUGAAGCGGAAGGCGGCCUCACGGCCACACUUCUAGAUUUAAGCAAUGGUACUCGCUACUAUUG